UAGUCGUUGGUCCUAAGUAACCGUUUGUUCUCUCCCUCUCAACUUUCACGCACACGCACACUUCCACAACACCAUUUUCACACCAUGACUGUGUGAAGAAGUUUUGCACCAAAUUUGAAGGAAGAAGUAAUCAAUGGAAGCCAAGUUGGCAUCAAGCUUUCUAGGGCAAAGAUGGUGGUGCUAUGGAGGAGGAGGGCUCGACUACUGUAAGCAAGGGAAUGUACGGUUCUGCCCUUCAGUUUCUCAUCGUUUCCUCCCAGCUUCUUGCAAAAUGCGCCAGCGGAAUCACAGUUCCCAAAAUAAAAGACAGCAAGCGAAGAAGUUAUAUCCUGAUCGUCCCACAGGUGUGAAUUUCCCUGCAACCAGUGACGAAGAUUCUGAUAUGGAAAACUUCUCCAAUGAUGGCAUCACAAGCUUAAAAGAUACAGCAGAUGACCUUGAUGCUGCUGUAAAAGCUGAGCAAACUGAUCAUCCCACCAGUGAUGAUUUGCUGGCAACCAGUGGUGAAGAUUCUGACACAGAGAAGUUCUCCAAAAAUGGCAUCACAAUCUUGAAAGAUACAGCAGAUGACCUUGAUGCUGAGCAAACUGAAAUACUUCCCAAUAACAAAAUCACACGUUUGAAAGAUACAGCAGAUGACCUUGAUGCUGCUGUAAAAGCUGAGCAAACUGAUCAUCCCACCAGUGAUGAUUUGCUGGCAACCAGUGGUGAAGAUUCUGACACAGAGAAGUUCUCCAAAAAUGGCAUCACAAUCUUGAAAGAUACAGCAGAUGACCUUGAUGCUGAGCAAACUGAAAUACUUCCCAAUAACAAAAUCACACGUUUGAAAGAUACAGCAGAUGACCUUGAUGCUGCUGUAAAAGCUGAGCAAACUGAUCAUCCCACCAGUGAUGAUUUGCUGGCAACCAGUGGUGAAGAUUCUGACACAGAGAAGUUCUCCAAAAAUGGCAUCACAAUCUUGAAAGAUACAGCAGAUGACCUUGAUGCUGAGCAAACUGAAAUACUUCCCAACAACAACAUCACACGUUUGAAAGGUGAUGCCAAUGGUAUGGAUUUUGCAUCAGAAGCUGAGCUGUCAAAUGAGAAUAUGAGCUUGACUCUGCUCAAUGAGAUUAGACCUGUGUCAAUUGCUGCUAAUGGUGAGGAUGAGGCUAAUGGUGAGGAUGAGCUUUCAAAUGUUCAUCUUUCAGGUUUAAUUGGGAUGAUUAGAAAUGCUGAAAAAAAUAUCCAUCUACUCAACCAUGCUCGGAUUACCGCUCUUGAAGAUCUUGAAAAAAUUCUUAGUGAGAAAGAGGCUUUACAGGGGAAGAUGAAUGUUUUGGAGAUGAAACUUGCAGAAACUGAUGAGAAGCUCAGAGUUGCUGCACAACAAAAGAUGCAUGUGGAACUCCUUGAAGAUCAGUUGGAACAAUUACGAAAUGAGUUGCUUGCUAGGGGUGAUAAUGAAGGCAGUAUGCAUGACAAGCAUGUCUCCCUGCCUUUUUCUCUUAGUGAGGAGCUUGAUGUACUGAGAACUGAGAACUUGUCCCUAAAGAAUGAUCUUCAAGCACUAAAAGCAGAUCUUGGAGAUAUUAAGGGAACAGAUGAACGUGUUCAGAUGUUAGAGAGAGAAAAAUCGUUUUUGGAGUCUUCAUUGAAAGGGUUGGAUAAUAAACUUGCUGCAUCUCAGGUAGAAGUUUCAAAAUUAUCUAUGUUGAAGUUUGAAUGCAAAAAUUUGUAUGAAAAGGUAGAGCACUUGCAAACAUUACUUGAUAAGGCAGCCAAACAGGCAGACCAAGCUAUUUUUGUCCUGCAAGAAAACCAAGAACUACGAAAGAAGGUUGACAAGCUUGAAGAAUCUCUUGAAGAGGCUAAUGUCUACAAGCUAUCAUCAGAGAGAUUACAACAUUAUAAUGAUCUAAUGCAGCAAAAACUAAGAAUUCUUGAUGAACGGCUUCAAAAGUCUGACGAAGAGAUUCAUGGUUAUGUUCAGUUGUAUCAAGAUUCUGUAAAAGAAUUUCAGGAUACACUCAGUAAUCUAAAAGAAGAAAGCAAAAGAAGAGCAGAGGAUGAACCUGUGAAUGAUAUGCCUUGGGAAUUCUGGAGUCAGUUAUUGCUUAUGAUUGAUGCUUGGUUGCUUGAAAAGAAGAUAUCAACCGACGAUGCCGGGCUCUUGAGAGAAAUGGUAUGGAAGAGAGAUGGACAUAUUUGCAAUGCAUACAUGUCAUGCAAGGAAAAGAAACAACAUGAAAUAAUCUCUAUGUUUCUACGGCUAAUUUCAUCCCCUAAAAGUUCAGAGUUGCAUGUCAUUCACAUUGCUGCUGAGAUAGCACCUGUUGCAAAGGUUGGUGGUCUUGGUGAUGUGGUGACUGGGCUCGGUAAAGCUUUACAAAGGAGAGGGCAUCUUGUGGAGAUUAUUCUUCCUAAAUAUGAUUGCAUGCAGUAUGAGCUUAUUCAUGAUUUAAGAGCUUUAGAUGCAGUGGUUGAGUCAUACUUUGAUGGUCAGCUACACAAAAACAAGAUCUGGACUGGCACCGUUGAAGGUCUUCCUGUCUAUUUUAUUGAGCCUCAUCAUCCAGGAAAUUUCUUCUGGAGAGGACAAUUUUAUGGUGAACAUGAUGAUUUUAAGCGGUUCUCAUUCUUCAGUAGGGCAGCACUUGAGUUACUUAUUCAAGCUGGCAAGAAACCAGAUAUAAUCCAUUGCCAUGAUUGGCAGACAGCUUUUGUGGCUCCGCUAUAUUGGGAUAUUUAUGCACCAAAAGGUUUGAAUUCAGCUCGGCUAUGUUUUACAUGCCACAAUUUUGAGUAUCAAGGGACUGCGCCAGCUUCAGAACUAGCAUCAUGUGGUCUUGAUGUUCACCAUUUAAAUAGACCAGAUAGAAUACAAGACAAUUCCGCACAUGACAGGGUCAAUCCCAUUAAGGGAGGAAUUGUGUUCUCUAACAUUGUAACAACUGUUUCACCGACCUAUGCCCAAGAGGUGCGGACUGCUGAGGGAGGACGAGGCCUUCAUGCUACACUGAACUCUCAUGCUAAAAAAUUUGUGGGAAUUCUCAAUGGAAUAGAUACUGAUGCAUGGAACCCCACUCGUGACACUUUUCUCAAAGUACAGUACAGUGCCUUUGAUACUCAAGGGAAAGCUGAAAAUAAAGAAGCUUUAAGAAGAAAGCUAGGUCUUUCUUCUGCUAAUAUUGGACAGCCUUUGGUUGGAUGCAUCACAAGGUUGGUUCCUCAAAAAGGUGUGCAUCUUAUUAGGCAUGCACUGUAUCGAACGCUGGAACUAGGAGGCCAAUUUAUCCUUCUUGGAUCAAGCCCUGUGUCACAUAUUCAGAGGGAAUUUGAAGACAUAGCCAACCAGUUUCAGAGUCAUGAAAAUGCAAGAUUGUUAUUGAAGUAUGAUGAGUCUCUAGCUCGUUUUAUAUAUGCUGCGUCUGACAUGGUUGUCAUCCCCUCCAUCUUUGAACCUUGUGGCCUUACACAGAUGAUUGCAAUGAGAUAUGGAUCCAUCCCAAUUGUGAGGAAAACUGGAGGUCUAAAUGACAGUGUUUUUGAUGUUGAUGAUGACACAAUACCUGAAGAGUUCAGAAAUGGAUUCACAUUUUUGACGGCUGAUGAGCAGGCGUUUAACAAUGCCUUGGAACGUGCCUUUUUCCACUAUAAGAACAAUAGUGAAUUUUGGCAAAAACUUGUUCAAAAGGUUAUGAGGAUUGACUUUAGCUGGGACUCGUCAGCUUCUCUAUAUGAGGAGCUUUAUGAAAAGUCUGUGGCAAGAGCUAGGGCUGCAAAUCGUGCCUGAACUUUAAUACUGGCAUGAACCCUUUUCUUUUCAUCUGCUGCCACUGAUAUCCAGACUAGCUGUGCACUGGUAAUUUUUUGCUUGACCAGCAUACGUAUUACUCAGAAGGCAUACCUGACAUGCCUACCUACAAUGGGAGCUGAUAGAACUACAUUGGCAUCCUGCCUCUGGAUCACAUCAGCAGUAUGAGUGGGACCAGAUCGAAUCUCCAUUUUCUAAAAUUCUUUUGUUGACACAAUCUUUGCUCUGUAGAUGAAUUACAUCAUGUUAGUAUAUACUUGGAUUACUUUUUUAGUUUGUAAAACCUAUAUAAUGCUAGGUUUAAAGUUUGAGAAUGUACAGAUAACUGAUUUACAGAGGCACAUCAAGUGAAAUCCGAAGAUCAAAUACUUGAAGUGUAAGCCGGCUAGGCAAGGAAUGAAGUAAUUUCUUGUUAUUUCUGAGAAGAAUUUGGGAGCCAUAAAGAUUUGGUGACGUGGAGAAGUGGAAAUCUUUGUUUUCUGGAUCACCUAAAUCAGUGUAUCUAUUCAAAGUUCACUCAAUUCCUCUUUACUUAUUUCGAGUUCUUGUUUCACCAUGAAACAAAAGUACCGACAUAUUUUAGUCCAAAUUGUAAGGUGCCUUUUAUUCCAGAGUAAAAUUUCUCCGGCAGAUUUCAUGAUGACAAUCUGCAACAGCGAGGCUUUUCUCUAAAACUACAUCUGAUAAUAUUGCGCGAAAAACAAAAGCAAAAAAAUGCAUGCUACAAAAGAGAGAAUCAGAAAACGAGACUCAAUUGAAGCACAC